rnacentral:rRNA from 1 species
UUGAUCCGCAGAUGUCUGAAUGGGGAAACCCGGUACGAAGAACUCGUAUCAUCCAUACGCCAAUCCAUAACGUAUGGAGGGGAACCCGGUGAACUGAAACAUCUAAGUAGCCGGAGGAAGAGAAAGAAACAUCGAUUUUGUUAGUAGCGGCGAGCGAAAGCGAAAGAGGCCAAACCGGAGUGCGUGCACUCCGGGGUUCGGACCGCAUUUAAGAUUCAGUGAUUCUAGCAGAAAGGUUUGGGAAAGCCUGCCGGAGAGGGUGAAAGCCCCGUAAGCGAAAGGAGAGCUGACUGAGCGGAAUCCAGAGUACAU